rfam:Ictidomys tridecemlineatus contig049877, whole genome shotgun sequence.
UGGGUCGUGGCUCAGUGAUAGAGCACUUGCCUGGCAUACAUGAGGCACUGGGUUCAAUUCUCAGCACCACAU